rnacentral:rRNA from 1 species
CGUAACGCGUAUGCAACCUGCCCCCACUCAGGGGAAGUAGCCCGCCGAAAGGCGGAUUAAUGCCCCAUAGGCCCAGGGCGCCGCAUGGCGCUAUGGGUAAAGCUCCGGCGGAUGGGGAUGGCAUGCGUGCCAUUAGCUAGUUGGGCGGUAACGGCGCACCAGGCGACGAUGGCUAGGGGGUCUGAGAGGAUGGUCCCCCACACUGGUACUGAGACACGGACCAGACUCCUACGGGAGGCAGCAGUGAGGAAUAUUGGUCAAUGGGCGGAAGCCUGAACCAGCCAUGCCCGCGUGCAGGAUGACGGCCCUACGGGUUGUAAACUGCUUUUCCCCGGGAAGAAUAAGCCCCUCGUGAGGGGUGAUGCCGGUACCGGGGGAAUAAGGAUCGGCUAACUCCGUGCCAGCAGCUGC